rnacentral:rRNA from 1 species
UACGGAGGGUGCAAACGUUGCUCGGAAUCAUUGGGCGUAAAGCGCACGUAGGCGGAUUGCUAAGUCAGGGGUGAAAUCCUGGAGCUCAACUCCAGAACUGCCUUUGAUACUGGCGAUCUCGAGUCCGGGAGAGGUGAGUGGAACUGCGAGUGUAGAGGUGAAAUUCGUAGAUAUUCGCAAGAACACCAGUGGCGAAGGCGGCUCACUGGCCCGGUACUGACGCUGAGGUGCGAAAGCGUGGGGAGCAAACAGG